UAGGGAAUAUUGGGCAAUGGGCGCAAGCCUGACCCAGCCAUGCCGCGUGCCGGAAGAAGGCCCUCUGGGUUGUAAACGGCUUUUGACGGGGAAGAAACGACCCUUGCGAGGGGCAUUGACGGUACCCGCAGAAUAAGCACCGGCUAACUCCGUGCCAGCAGCCGCGGUAAUACGGAGGGUGCGAGCGUUGUCCGGAUUUAUUGGGUUUAAAGGGUGCGUAGGCGGUCUGGUAAGUCGGCGGUGAAAGCCCGGGGCUCAACCCCGGAACUGCCAUCGAUACUGUCGGACUGGAGUGUGGUGGAGGCUGGCGGAAUGGGCGGUGUAGCGGUGAAAUGCAUAGAUACCGUCCAGAACCCCGAUUGCGAAGGCAGCUGGCUGUACCAUUACUGACGCUGAGGCACGAAAGCGUGGGGAGCGAACAGG
rnacentral:rRNA from 1 species